GACGAACGCUGGCGGCGUGCUUAACACAUGCAAGUCGAACGGAAAGGCCCUGCUUGCAGGGUGCUCGAGUGGCGAACGGGUGAGUAACACGUGGGUGAUCUGCCCCUUAUUUUGGGAUAAGCCUGGGAAACUGGGUCUAAUACUGGAUAGGACCAUGCUGUAGGUGGUGUGGUGGAUAGAUUAGUUUCGGUAAGGGAUGAGCUCGCGGCCUAUCAGCUUGUUGGUGGGGUAAUGGCCUACCAAGGCGUCGACGGGUAGCCGGCCUGAGAGGGUGGACGGCCACAUUGGGACUGAGAUACGGCCCAGACUCCUACGGGAGGCAGCAGUGGGGAAUAUUGCACAAUGGGCGCAAGCCUGAUGCAGCGACGCCGCGUGGGGGAUGACGGCCUUCGGGUUGUAAACUCCUUUCAGCCAUGACGAAGCCCUUGUGGUGACGGUAGUGGUAGAAGAAGCACCGGCUAACUACGUG
rnacentral:rRNA from 1 species